UACAGAGGUGGCAAGCGUUGUUCGGAAUUACUGGGCGUAAAGGGCGAGUAGGCGGCCUUCUAAGUCAGACGUGAAAUCCCCCGGCUUAACCUGGGAACUGCGUCUGAUACUGGGAGGCUUGAGUAUGGGAGAGGGAUGUAGAAUUCCAGGUGUAGCGGUGAAAUGCGUAGAUAUCUGGAGGAAUACCGGUGGCGAAGGCGGCAUCCUGGACCAUUACUGACGCUGAGGAGCGAAAGCGUGGGGAGCAAACAGG
rnacentral:rRNA from 1 species